rnacentral:rRNA from 1 species
UACGGAGGGUGCAAGCGUUGUCCGGAAUCACUGGGCGUAAAGCGCGUGUAGGCGGGUCUUUAAGUCAGGGGUGAAAUGCCAAGGCUCAACCUUGGAACUGCCUUUGAUACUGGAGACCUUGAGUCCGGGAGAGGUGAGUGGAAUUGCGAGUGUAGAGGUGAAAUUCGUAGAUAUUCGCAAGAACACCAGUGGCGAAGGCGGCUCACUGGCCCGGAACUGACGCUGAGACGCGAAAGCGUGGGGAGCAAACAGG